rnacentral:rRNA from 3 species
UACGAAGGUCCCAAGCGUUAUCCGGAUUUAUUGGGUUUAAAGGGUGCGUAGGCGGGCUAUUAAGUCAGUGGUGAAAGCCUCAAGCUUAACUUGAGAAUUGCCAUUGAUACUGAUGACCUUGAGUACAUUUGAAGUGGGCGGAAUGUGUCAUGUAGCGGUGAAAUGCUUAGAUAUGACACAGAACACCGAUUGCGUAGGCAGCUCACUAAACUGUAACUGACGCUGAGGCACGAAAGCGUGGGGAGCAAACAGG